GUACCUACGGGGCGCAGCAGUGGGAAUAUUGCACAAUGGGGGAAACCCUGAUGCAGCAACGCCGCGUGAGUGAAGAAGUAUUUCGGUAUGUAAAGCUCUAUCAGCAGGAAAGAAGAUGACGGUACCUGACCAAGAAGCCCCGGCUAACUACGUGCCAGCAGCCGCGGUAAUACGUAGGGGGCAAGCGUUAUCCGGAUUUACUGGGUGUAAAGGGAGCGCAGACGGCAGUGCAAGCCUGGAGUG
rnacentral:rRNA from 1 species